rnacentral:snRNA from 1 species
GUGGUUGCUUCUGCUGCACAUACACUAAAGGUUGGAAUACUAUAGAAAAGAUUAUCUAGGUUCCUGUGCCAGGAAUGACAUACCUAAAUUCGUGAAGUGUUCUAUUUAUAU